AAACAAGGGUGCUUGGGGCCGAAAAAUGAGAGUUUCAGUGGACAGAGAAGGAAAAUUUGGGUUAGCACACACGGAUUAAGAACUGUUUACUUUCCUGAGAGUGGAGAGAUCAACAUGGAAAGCCAUUACAAGAGAUUUAAGGUAAAGCCGGGGUGCGACGCAUCAAAUUGGUUACUGGAGAUUUGGAGAGAAGAGUCUGAAUCAGAAUGGAAGUGGAGCACCAAGGCUCUGAUUUAUGGGCUGUGCAGCACAUCACGGCAAGCAAAAAGGCUUUUGUAAGAACAAUCUCACCGCAAUUUAUCAGCUUCGCCACCUACCCACCGAAGACCUUCCACUAGUCAGAAGCGAAUAAGGCCAGGAGACCAGUUGGUGAUGAAAUUAAUGCUGGACGCAGCUGAAAAACUGCUCUUUGAAUUUGGAGGCCUGGGAUGUUCAUUGAAAUUGAGUGUUACGAAAGCAAUUUUACAGGCACCUCAGGGGCAUAUGCUUGUGCGGAUUUCUAUUACACUAAACCGAAUUUUAGACUUUGUAUAUUUAAAAAAAAAAUAGCAAAUGGUUGGAACAGCACCAGAAAAUACAUCGCCACAAAUUAAGAUCAUAAUCAUGUUAAAGGAGUGGAAAUAAAUACAUUUCAGAAGGAUGCAACAGUGGGUAAAUUCCCUUGGUGCUCUCUUUUGAACUUAUCCAUUUAACAUACUUUUAAAUGUGAAAAAAGAACUGCUUCAUUCCGCCCAUUUUAAUGCCUACCCUUACUUAAUACAGAUUAAGGUUUUGUUUCCCUCUUUAAACUCUUAAAGUGGCUGAGUUUUCAGUCUACAAUAGCUCUAAGCAUAUUUAGCCUCUGCUGUAAUGAGACAAAAGCAUCCAUUCAUGGUUUUAAUUCGCCUUGCGAUUAAUGAUUGCAUAUUGAAUGAUACGGUGCACAGCGUUUUAUUCUUUGCGGCAGAAAAAUGGAAUGUCUUAUUUCA